rnacentral:sRNA from 1 species
UAUUGAUAAUGUAACAUGAACUAUACGGUUCAUACAAGUAACUUAUCCGGUUUUGAGUGUACUUCCAGUCAUCUGCCUUUCCAUCCAUUUUCAGACGUUUAUUCCUGUGCCACAUCUCAAGAGUACCUGGCAUCCAUCAACCUUGCCAUCCCCACCAAAUCAAAACGCCAAAGAAACAAAAACUCACCAAAAACCACCCCGCUGCCACCAGUCGAAUUAUGCCAUUAGCCCCAAUGCCCAGGUACCGCAUUGCUCCACGCAGUCGCAUGUCGGUUCUCCUGCUCCAGCAAAUCCUCAUCCACCUAAAAUAUGGCAAGGACCAUUCUUGUGGUUCUGCAUAGUUUUCUACAAUAAACCUUGCAUGAUCGCCGUAAAUGUGUUUCCAGCGGAUAAUCGACCAGAUCAGUGCGAAAAAAGUCACCGAGAUGGCGAAGCUAUCAAAGUGAGGUUUGAUCUUGGCUAGCCCUUGCUCCCUUUCGCGAUAGGUAGUAAAGGACAGUCGAACUUGGAACUUGACCGGAAAGACUAAGUCCAAUUGGAUCUGGAAAGAGGAAAGGGUAAACUGACAUUCUGCGCGGAGGCGUAUCCGAAAUGAGGGCAAGUACUAUUUUGAAGACGUGUAAGUAAACAGCCGAGAAGAACUCUUCUACUUGUUAGUGCCUUUUGAGCUAUAGCUUGAACUCACCGAAUGAAAAAUAGGCAAACGUAUCGGUUAGAUCAUUAUCUCCAUUCUCUCCCUCCGUCAGGCCUUGCUCAAUAUCUCCAUCUUCGGCUUCAGGGGUGUAGACGAGUGCCAUUUUGGCGAGAAGAUACUGUGAAGACAUGCUUGGGAAAUACAAGUCAUUGGCCAAAGGUCG